rnacentral:rRNA from 1 species
UUUGGUAGCCAUAGAGGAGAGGGUACACCCGACCCCAUUCCGAACUCGGAAGUUAAGCUCUCCAUCGCCGAUGAUACUGCAUAACGUCAUGUGGGAAAGUAGGC